rnacentral:rRNA from 1 species
CCUACGGGUGGCAGCAGUGGGGGAUAUUGGACAAUGGGGGAAACCCUGAUCCAGCGAUGCCGCGUGAGGGAAGAAGGUUUUCGGCUCGUAAACCUCUGUGGCGGGGGACGAUAAUGACGGUACCCUGUUUGGAAGCCACGGCUAAAUACGUUGCCGCAGCCGCGGUAAUACGUAGGUGGCGAGCGUUGUUCGGAAUUACUGGGUGUAAAGGGAGGGGAGGGGGGAAAGCAAGUCAGAAGUGAACACUAUGGGCUUAACCCAUAGCCUGCUUUUGAAACUGAUUGUCUUGAGUGAAGUAGAGGCAAGCGGAAUUCCUAGUGUAGCGGUGAAAUGCGUAGAUAUUAGGAGGAACACCAGUGGCGAAGGCGGCUUGCUGGGCUUCUACUGACGUUGAGGCUCGAAAGCGUGGGGAGCAAACAGGAUUAGAUACCCUUGUAGUC